GGCGACGUGGGCGGUUCGCUGCCCGCGACGUCGCGAGAAGUCCAUUGAACCUUAUCAGUUUAGAGGAAGGAGAAGUCGUAACAAGGUUUCCGUAGGUGAACCUGCGGAAGGAUCAUUG
rnacentral:ncRNA from 1 species